rnacentral:piRNA from 1 species
UAUCUGUUUUAUCCUGUAAAA